rnacentral:rRNA from 1 species
UACAGAGGUCCCAAGCGUUGUUCGGAUUUACUGGGCGUAAAGGGCGCGUAGGCGGCAUGACAAGUCACUUGUGAAAUCUCUGGGCUUAACCCAGAACGGCCAAGUGAUACUGUCGCGCUAGAGUGCAGAAAGGGCAAUCGGAAUUCUUGGUGUAGCGGUGAAAUGCGUAGAUAUCAAGAGGAACACCUGAGGCGAAGGCGGGUUGCUAGGCUGACACUGACGCUGAGGCGCGAAAGCCAGGGGAGCAAACGGG